rnacentral:rRNA from 1 species
GACGAACGCUGGCGGCGUGCUUAACACAUGCAAGUCGAACGGAAAGGCCCUGCUUUUGUGGGGUGCUCGAGUGGCGAAAGGGUGAGUAACACUUGAGUAACCUGCCCUUGACUUUGGGAUAACUUCAGGAAACUGGGGCUAAUACCGGAUAGGAGCUCCUGCUGAAUGGUGGGGGUUGGAAAGUUUCGGCGGUUGGGGAUGGACUCGCGGCUUAUCAGCUUGUUGGUGGGGUAGUGGCUUACCAAGGCUUUGACGGGUAGCCGGCCUGAGAGGGUGACCGGCCACAUUGGGACUGAGAUACGGCCCAGACUCCUACGGGAGGCAGCAGUGGGGAAUAUUGCACAAUGGGCGGAAGCCUGAUGCAGCAACGCCGCGUGCGGGAUGACGGCCUUCGGGUUGUAAACCGCUUUCGCCUGUGACGAAGCGUGAGUGACGGUAAUGGGUAAAGAAGCACCGGCUAACUACGUG